rnacentral:ncRNA from 1 species
UAAGUUUUAUUGAAAAAGAGUAGUAAUUAAUUUAUUCUUUUCUAGAGAGUUAGUAUUAGGUGGAAACUAACAAAGAAUAACUAAUGAACUUGCUUUGGAAAAACAUCGCUAGUAAGCGUUAUAACUAAAAGUUGCAUAAUUAACUUUAUGAAUUAAGGUGGUACCGCUCCAAAAGGAGUCCUUAAA